rnacentral:lncRNA from 1 species
UGGGAGGGAGUAUAAAAUCAUCUAUUUCAGAUGAGCAAACAAAACUAAAAGGUAUGUAGACUUCACUUUCAAAAAGUGAUUCUGUGUCCCCCGUCAGUGGGAUGGUACCUGGGAGACGAAUAAAGGUGUUGAUGGGUUCCCUCCUGAUCAGGAGGUAAGAAACUCUGUUAAAGGACAAUAAAAUACAGAGAUGAUGUCCUUUAAUAUUUCUAAAACACAUCACUGUACAGCUGCACCAUGUCCACCUGAAAAAAUGAGUUCAGCUGAUACUGGCAUCUGAGAAAAGCUGAUCUAGUAGAGUAGGGAGUUUAUUAUACAAAUAUCUAAUUAAAUAACAAGGGACAGUGUGGAGAGUAAUUAUAUACAUGAGUCCAAAAAGAAGAGGAAACUAAAAGUGAAAACAAUGAGAUCAUUAAAUAGACAAAAACAAACAAAAAAACAGUCACUUGUGUAUAAAAUGGUCAGUAAAUGUAGAAGUCAGAUCAGGUAAUAAAGUACAUGUUUAACCUUCCGAGAACAUCAACAAAAUCAAUAAAAAAAAGCUGAACUUUGUCAUGAAGAUAAAAGUGAUGGACAGAACUUAAAACUCCACCUACAGACUAGAGUUUUAAGUUCACAGCAGACUGCAUGGGCAGAGAGAAGGACGAUUUAUCUUCAAAAUGAGACGCCUCAUAUUUCUCCUUUUGGGUAUUUUAAUCCUGGAAGCAGCCAAGGAAAAUCCGGGUCUUAUGUGCAAACAGGAUGCUCCUGGAUCGUGCGAUCCCAUGGGAAAUAAAGACGGUUUUAACAUAACAACCAACUCAACAUCAAUGGCGCCCAAACGAAACAUAAGCACACAAACGUGGAAUGGUACCUGGGAGACGAAUGAAGGUGUUGAUGGGUUCCCUCCUGAUCAGGAUUAG